rnacentral:misc_RNA from 1 species
ACCUCGAUGUUGAAUUAAGAAAAGAUCUAAUAGAAAAAAAUUAGAUUAUAGGUCUGUUCGACCUUUGAAUUCUUACAUGAUUUGAGUUAAGACCGGUGUAAGCCAGGUUGGUUUCUAUCUUCAUAAUAGAAGUUUUUAUAGUACGAAAGGACCUAAAAACUUAAUUUUAUUAAUUAAUUAGCUUAUAUAAAGCAAGUAUUUUGAAAAUACUAGAAAGAUUUAAAAAUUUAUUAAUUUUAUGU